AAACCUCUCUCAGUUCGGAUCGAAGUCUGCAACCCGACUUCGUGAAGCUGGAUUCGCUAGUAAUCGCGCAUCAGCCAUGGCGCGGUGAAUACGUUCCCGGGCCUUGUACACACCGCCCGUCAAGCCAUGAAAGCCGGGGGUACCUGAAGUACGUAACCGCAAGGAGCGUCCUAGGGUAAAACUGGUAAUUGGGGCUAAGUCGUAACAAGGUACC
rnacentral:rRNA from 1 species